AGAGGUCCGAUUAACAACAAGGUUCAACUCCUCAAUCUUAAUCGACCCUUUGUACCCGCAGGCAGCAAAGCUAAUGAAUUGUGCAAAGGACAACAAGCAGAUGCUAAUUGAAUGCACUCUCAAAAGUACAUCAGAAUCGUCUUCGACACUAAAUGUUGCACCUUUUGAAGAUGAAAUAGUUCCCAUUUCAAGCAUUCCUUCACAGUCGACCGUGAGUAUAUUAAAACAUAUGACUCGGGCUUCGCAUCGAUUGUUCUUUUGCUUCUAUAUCGGAUUAGAAAUAGCCUCUUGCGAGUUAUUCUAUGUCGUAAUUACGAAGUAGUAUCUUCUUAUUAUUUUCUCAACAGGCACAGUUUCUAUGUUGAAGGAGAAAUAUCAUUGCCAAGUGAAUUCCAAUUUUUCUUCGUACUUUUAUGAUUUGAGUGCCAAUAUCUAGCACGAAUCAAGUGCAAAAAGAAAGUUCUCUCUAUCCACUGAAAACUAGAGAGAAUGUUGAUUCCAAGAUGUGAAUUUGAAGUUGACAUCACGGACGGGAGCGGAACAAUAACAUUAGUAGUGUAAGAUAAACUAGCUGAAAGAAUGCUUUCACUGACAGCAGACCA